GUGCCUGCCUGGCACAGUGAGCCCCCCACGCUCGGGCGGCCCCACACCGCCCUGGUGCGCCGCCUUGCCCCCUCAACGGCCCCAGCGUGGUUCUCCUCGAGCCUGUCCCCGUGUGCCACCAGACCCCUCUUGCAUCCCCACCGCUUGUGUCACAUUGCCAGGGGUGGAUCCGCGGCUUGUACAGGACCCGCAGCCCCGAACAUGGACCGCUCGUCCCAGCUCACCUUCUCCGCGGCUGCAGCUGCUGCUCCAAUCCUGGCUGGCGAUGGUCGGCGUCUCCGUUGUCCCAGACCGCCCCGGCAUGAAAAGCACUGUAAGAGCUCUAAAGACCAAGGUGUCAGUGGAACCUCUCCAGGGACAGGAUCUGGACUGCAUGCUGUGCCCUGAUAAGAGGUCCCUCCGAUUCUGCACAAGUCAGGGCUCCCACCAUCUGAAGGGAUGUAUGAUUAUCUACACUAUGUUCUUUUUUCUUCUAGCGUUGGCGUCAAUAAAUGGAAAUUUAACCAA